AUGGGAAAUGUAGAGGAAGGAAAAGUGUGGGGGUAAAACUGAAUGUUAUUUGUAGGGGAGGGAACGACCCGAGAGAGGUAAUGUGAGGCCAUCAGCCCUGGGCAGGUAAGGAAAGCUUUGGGGGUAAAACUUGAGAAACUCUCAAGGAUAGAAAAUGAACCUUUGGAGGUAAAAAUGAGUUAAUCAGAGGUGUGCAGGAAGAGAAAAGUUUAGGGGUUAAAUCUGAGGGGAUCUCUGGGAGAGAGAAUGAAGAUCUUGUCUUAAAAAUUAAAAGAGGUGAUCAGUUGUGGCUGCCCGGGCGGGUUUUGGGGCUUAAAAAGGAGUUUGAUUCUCUGCAGGUCAGUGAAUGCAAAUGUGGAGGUGAUCAGCAGUGGAGAGGAGGGGAUCAUUUUGGGGUCAGACCUUGGGCAGGAACUGAACUCAGGAGCUCAGCUGCUCCUGCCCCAGAGAGCAUCAGUGAAAUCAGCACUAUUGCCCUGGCGUGUGCCCACUGCCAAUUGUUCACCCAACACAAUUCCAAAGCAAGUGUUGCUUCUGUUUUAAGAACUGAAAAUAACUUGAAAGCCAAAGAAAUCACCAUUUCCUUGGUCUUGUUUCCUUUUAGAUGGUGGAAUUGCCAGUCUGUCCGUGAGCUGAGCUGUGGCUGCAGGGCACUGUCAGAGACCGACCAAACUGGAGAAUUUGAAUCAGAGAGGAAGCGAUGCACAACAAAUGCAGGGAGAAAUGGUGGAAUGGUGAUGGAAUCCUGCAGUGGUUCGGGUUGCAAGGGAUCUUAAAGCUCAUGCAGCCCCACUCCCUGAGCAGGGACACCUUCCCCUAGCCCAGGUUGGCCCUGGUCGCAGAUGGAUAUGGAAGUGCUGGAGGUGUUUAGGGAAUGCUGAUAGUUUUUCCCCCACCUCUGGCCAUCGGGUCCUUCAAAAGACUAAUUCACCUCUUCGCCCAGGGGAAAACGCUGGAUCAGAGGGAGGUAAGGAGCAGGGAGAACUGCAGCCCCCAGCAGCUUGGUCAGUGCUGGAUGGACUCGGGGCUGGGAAAGGUCACUCAGUGUGAGGGCAGGGACACUGAGCUGGUCCAAGUGUGGCAAGAAGAACAAGUGGGCCGUGAAGGUUUGGAGCAUUCUGGAAGGUUCCUCGUGCCCAAAGGAUCCUGGCAAGUGCAGCCCUGGAAGAGUACAGAAUAAUGAAAAGUGCCUCAGUUCUCCUGAAGCUCAACUUUGUAAAACAUUAAUGAAGAUAAAAUUCCUCUGCAACGAGCUGUUGGGUCCCAAAUCCUCUUGGAGGGAGAGGCAGAAACUCCCACUGCUGCUGGGGCUGAACUGCUUGCAGUGACCAGGUAGGACUCGGCCCUGAUGUCUGAGUGCUCUCCAGUCCCCCAGGAUGGAUCCCAACUGUCAGCCCCUUGCUCUAUAACUUGAGGAGAGGGUGUUCCUGCAAGCCCAGCUGCUGUGCUGGUGGUCCUGUGUGCACCUCUUGCCCUGGCCUGCUGUGAAUGUAUUUGUGUUGCAGCUCAGUAAAGUCCCAGUAAUGUGGUGA